rnacentral:rRNA from 1 species
CCUACGGGAGGCAGCAGUGGGGAAUAUUGGACAAUGGGGGGAACCCUGAUCCAGCGACGCCGCGUGAGUGAAGAAGUAUUUCGGUAUGUAAAGCUCUAUCAGCAGGGAAGAAAGAAAUGACGGUACCUGACUAAGAAGCCCCGGCUAACUACGUGCCAGCAGCCGCGGUAAGACGUAGGGGGCAAGCGUUAUCCGGAUUUACUGGGUGUAAAGGGAGCGUAGACGGCGAUGCAAGUCUGAAGUGAAAGGCGGGGGCCCAACCUCCGGACUGCUUUGGAAACUGUAUGGCUGGAGUGCAGGAGGGGUAAGUGGAAUUCCUAGUGUAGCGGUGAAAUGCGUAGAUAUUAGGAGGAACACCAGUGGCGAAGGCGGCUUACUGGACUGUAACUGACGUUGAGGCUCGAAAGCGUGGGGAGCAAACAGGAUUAGAUACCCUGGUAGUC